rnacentral:lncRNA from 1 species
CACCUUUUUUCACGGCGCAGACAUUGCGACCAUCGCCCUUUGGAAACUCUUUCAAACAGUUCCCGCUGUACUUAGGAACGCCUUGCAACCCGGAGCAGAAAAUUGAAGGCCCAUUAUGCUUGGGAAGUGACGGCUUAAACUCGUGAGAAAACACCGAGUGUCUUGCCCACUUCAACCCGUUUGGUAUUUUUGACUUUUUUCCCAAGACCAGGCUAACAGACUAGGCAGUCAUCGCCGCGGCUCCUAUCCGGCUGAAUGGGGAGUUGACUCCCAUCGCUCCUCAUGUCCGUCUACGGUUCUUCAUAUAUAUGGCUAUACACAACAUUAUGUUGGAUCACGAGGGCUAAAAUGUAUUUUUGGGAUUUACUUUGCACCACUGUCGCCUUUAGCACCACUCAAACUCCUGACGUGGAACCGCCGGCAGCUUCCCCUGCAGAUCACUUGGGACAGGGUCCUCGGGGCACUUGAAUUGGUGGAGCUGAACAGCCAAGAACCGGGCUUCGUCGAGACCGAACUUGGCGACUGGGAAGCCGACAGUUUUGGCUUUUCCGUUUUCUUUCCAGCAUGUUCUGACGAGAUUUCGAUGCGGGUCGAACCACACGCCUCGCGCCUUCGGGUACUUGUUGAAAUGAGCAGGCGUCGGGUUGAAAAGUAGCCCUUCCUUGACUUCAGGCUCUGGAAUCAUAUGGUGAAUUCGAAAUUGGCGCCUCUGGGGGAAGGCGCCCUUUGCAGUGCCGGCUUUCGCGGUUGAGACACGCUUGCUUUCCUUCGCCGUCGUUCCUUUGUUCGAGUCAAUCGUUUCAGAAUGAGGAGUCUUCUCUUGAUGGCCUAGAGCCUUUGCGGGUGGCUGCUGCGCCAGGUCUGUUCCACUGACUCCUAAACUCGGAAUUUUUCCAUCUCGAACCGAGGAAGUGCGUGGGCGCGUGCUCUGGCCCCCAUGAUUGUGGACCUCCGAAGAACAUGAUCGCUUUCCUCGCCUCGCCGCGUUCACUUCGCAGGAAAGUUCUCCAUCGGGUUUUGCGCGUGACCUAAACAGUUCGUGGCCGGAAUGCUCCGCGCCCGAUCGGAGAUAAGGCAGUUUCGAAGACACCGAAAGACGCAGUGGUUUUUUCGCGGUCCGCGUACGCGAUGCAAUACCCUUUUCUUUGCCUGAAUCACACCCAUCUAAUUUCCCAGCGCCUUCUUCCAGGAUCUCGCCUUGAAGCUCAGCAUGUCUCAUUCGCUUGACAGAGAAACACGGGAGAGCAGCAGGUUCCAGAAACGUGUGUUUUCUUUUCGAACUUGCUGCAGAGGCGCGGCCGUCUCGUGGAGCGUUGCCAGACUCAAGAGCCGGCAGAGUGUACACGCUUGUGUCCUUUGCCGAUGGAUUUGGUUCAUCCUCGCUUUCUUCUUCAACUUGACUGAGAGCAUUCGCAAAUCGGAUUCCGGACUCAAGCGACUCUUUGACGCGUCGCUUUUUCGGGGUUUCUGGCCGCCGAGCCCAGCCAUUCCACCCUGCCCACGAUCCAGCUGUCUUACCAGUUGCACCCUCGGCAGGCGCUUCCGACAGCAUAGUGCCUUUUCCGUUCCCCGUAGCAGUUGAAGGUGUCACGUUCCCGAUGGACGCAGCUGAGGAACAGCGUGUGUUGUAGACGUGACAGGGACCUUUCUCGGCUUUCUUUGGGAACCGACCACCACGUGCCGCCUUCGCUGUCGCGGCAGCGGCUGCGCGUUCGGCAUUUUUCCUGUCGAACUCCCGCUCCAUUGCCCUCGCGCAGGUCCACGAACUGGAAGGAGCGGUGAGCAAAAGUGUGGAGAUCCACGACGGCUGGCCUUCGCCGAAUUUCGAGCACCCGCACACCGUGCACCCGCACGCGAGACAAGAAACGUACCCUCCAUACCGCGCGGCUUCUUGGCGGUGAAAAGCGUUCCUCCGGACUUCGUACAAGUCCUCCACGAAACGUGCUCGGGUCUCUUUCUCAGAGGGCAUGCCGCGAAUCUCUUCACGGACGGAGGCCAGCACCGGCAACAUACAGUUUUCAGGAGUUCCGCUAGAAGCCCCGGCGCACUGAAGCGCGGUCCGCAGGUGUCGCUCCAGACCCGCCACGUCGGUCUUCGGGUUGUCGCUGGGUUCACAGCCAGACAGCAGGAAGUGCGACGGAGGCGACUGGGAUUUCUCAGGUUUUCUCGGGUAGCCCUGAGAGGGAGUGACACCUCGGAAUUCAGGUGAGGCUUGAGAAAUAGCAGAGACGGCCUGUGCCGGUACACCGAGUGAACUCGAAGCCCCCGAGACUCUGGCCGUGCGUGCAGGUGCAAAGGCAGACGACUCCGAGCGUUUAGCUCCAGUCACUCUCCGGAUGUACCUUAGCAGCACGUCAAAAUCUUCGUUGGAUAGAUUUCUCAGCCAUGCGGCAAUCAUUGCGUCAGCUUCUCCAGCGAAACGGUUGCGGGGGGACUCGUCGCCCUCGUUUUUCGCUUCCUGUCGAGCACGCAAAAGGAGCGCGACAGCCUCGUACUCGGCAGGAAGCUUGCAGGGCUUGGAAGGGGUCAGCUGUUGGGUUUUUGAGGCAUCUCCGCCGUCACCCUCGAACACAGUCGCAUGGUCCGUCGACGGAGGCGGGGAAACAGACGGAGAGUGCUGGACACAGUCUCGCUCGGCAUUUGGAACAGACAGAAACUGAGACUCGCACGAAGUGCUCGACCGCGCGCUUGCGGCCUUUGGCAAAAAAGCAGGGUAGGGCGACUCGCUGUGGGACGAGAGGCCCCGUUGGAACGGGGCGCGUCCACUCAAGCUUAGGAGGGGGGAAGCUCCCGCGUUUCUACCCGAGGAAGUGGGAGAGGAGAAAAUCCAGGAAGACUCCCGGUCAUCGUCUGAGCGGGCCGCAUCAAACUUCGUUUUUCCAGGCGGCGCGAACGAGGCGAGAGUUGUAGAUCCGGCGGCCAGCUGGGAAGCUGUUUCGCUCCGGACCGGAAUGCCGAGUCUCGAGAGCGAACUGCCUGCUUGCGGUGCCCCUAUGGCCGAAGAAACAAGGCGCAGGAAAGACGACGCAUGCUCAAAGGAGCUGGGUAGGGGUGAAGCGACAGGACGCCCCUGCGUUCGUUGGUCUUGUCGCAAGUCCUCAGACGAAGAAUCGGCGCCUUCUUCCUGGCUUGCCUCUCCCCCGUGUAUCGUUGCUGUUUCGCCAUCGGCCUUCCACGCGUUCUCUUCAGGGCCGUCAGGGUGAAACAAGGCAAUUGGUCGGGAGGUAUCGUCUGGUCCGACUACCGGGGCCGUGUGCAAUUCCGCUGCAACUGCUCUCGGUUCCGGCGAAUGCUUGGGAGUCAGUGCGUCGAAGACGGCAGCUUUUGCGAGCUCUUCAUCGCGAACAUCCCCCCGCGAGGGCUGCGAAUCCGGGUCGCUGCUGCCAUCGCUGAGGUCCCCGACGGUACUGGCAGAGCUGUGAGACGAGUGACUUGCUGCCGCGGCAGGUGCCACAUCUGCGCAUUUUGGUGUGACAGCGUUCUCCAUUUCCUCGAUUUCUGGCGGUUGGAUGGGUCCACGGAUCGGUGUGUGGAGUUGCCCUGUAAGCCGCGGUUCUUCCUGCGUCAUUUUUUGCCGUUUUGGCCCGAGAUCUUCUUCGGGAUAAGCUUCCAAGACCCGGGGGGGAAAAGCGCUUCUAAAGUUGAUAAAAGAUAGUUGCCUUAAAAGUAGGGCGGUAUAUUCUUGAAAGGUCGGGAGUGUGCCGGCUCGGGCAGACAGCGGUGCUGUGUGGACGGAGGUAGCCGCCUUACACGAGAGAGCACAGACAGUUAGCCGUGGCUUGACGAAAGUGCAAGGAGUCGUUUUGCUGAGUAAGGGUAAAUAAGGCUGACAAGAUGUCGCGUCUCGAUCUGAAAUACCAAGAAGAAUGGCUCAAAGUCUCCACGCAAGAAGGACACACUCGUCGCUCAACCUACUAAGUAUGGCACAUAUAGACGGGCAAGCUGUGUGGCAGCAGACUGCACGAAGACUUUUUCCAAACUUGUAAAAGGGUCGAAGAUGAGCCAUCUUGGCGCACCGUCACACUGUCUCAAGCUGAGUCAACAAUUGAUUUGCACGCAAUAGGGUUCGAGGAAAUAAUGUGGUAUCGCUUCCCGAAAGACGCCGCUAUACACCGCCACGGACCACGUGCCUCACGCCUGCUCGUGUGCGCUUGUGAGGAAGGAGCGCGUGACCGACAGGACCAGUUGGUGCCGCCUGGCCACGCUUAAAGGCUGGAAGCCGCGAGCUUACUCUUUGCGCCGAGGCUCAGAAAAGCGACCCGAUCACAUUUGCAACGUUUUUGGCGUGUGUACAUUGACAAAUAAGAAGGGAAAAACGAAUAUCACCGUCCGCGCCCGCGACGGGCGUGCAUCGAGUUGCGACGGCGCGUAAAUGAACAGCGCUCGGAUCCAGCUCGCGUGUGCAACUCUGGGCUACCUACUGUGGGAUAGGGCAGAAAGUUUGGCCAAUCUGGAACAGCUUUGAACCGAAAAGUCAUUUGCGGAAGAAAGAAGAAUCCAACCGGCCAAACUCGGGAGCACUCUACCCACACAGUUGCCCCAAAUCAUCAACUGGCGGCGCGAGGGCUCUCGCUCGUCUGGGUGCCACUCUUUUGGGUCAACUUGUGGCGCCGGGGCUGUGUGGGCGCUGGCACACGAGGGUGGCCAUGACCUGCCAACACGCGUUCUGCGUGUUCUCAAAGUGGAAUUGUGUGGUGCCUUGUGGGCUGUUCUUCGUUUGUGUAGAAGGCGUCUGCGUGAGGGGAGCGUUGGUGUCGCUGUUCGUGAACCAAUCCUGCUGCCCUCGGCUAGCAAGUACCGUCGUGAACGCCAAAACGAACACUUCGACGGAGCUGUCUUUCGCUACCGCCUAACGCCUUGUGGUAGGGCCUACUGCCGUCUGCUGUGACAGACUUCACUUUGUGCUGUGGGUGCAGAGAUCCCGCAUAAGAAAGGUGUAGGUGGUCACAUGUGCUUAAAACCGAACGUGUGCAGCCAGUGCAAGGACAAGCACCGAGCAAAAAACUAGGAGUUGAAAGAGGAGUGGGGGAAGGACUCUCCUACACUCAACGGCCCAAGAGGGGGGCUUGUUCCACGGCAACCGCAGCGUGAUUUGUGGACAGGAAACUCAGGGAUUCGAUUUGAUCCUCGACGUCGGGAGGGUACUUGCGACACCAACGAAUUUUUGCUGAGAUUUGAUGAGGCUGAUAUUGCAAAUACGCCCACGCAGGAUGGCGGCCUUCUGGCGCAGCGACACACAGAAGUAGCGUGGCCCCCGUUGUAUCCGCCACAACACUGAAACGGGUUUAUGGGGUUUAGUCCAUCCAGCGGGUGCCUUCUUAGCCUACGGGCUCUCAGUUCUGCCGCAAGAAACCAGGGUUUCUGAACUCAAACUCACUGGAAGUGUGUCGUGCAAAAUAACGCCCCUCGUCGUUGUGUACGGUCUUUUCUGUCAACGAAAUGUUUAGUCCAGUUAACCUGUUGGCGCCUACCGGAAACGCGCCGACAGCAGCUGCGAAGGCAUUCGCAGUUGACGUCUAGCGAAGAUUCCGAAGACAGAUCUAAAUAUGAGUUGUACUUGCGCUUCUGAUGGAUCUCGCGCUUGAGAACGCUGAACGAGAAAUCAAAGGGAUGAUUACCACCGUUCAGCAUCUAUUGCUAGUGGCGCCGAGCAUUUGUUGUGAGGAUUCUGCAAAGCACAGACACUAGUAUAUGACAAAGUGAGGUUUUCUGCCUCAACAGGCAGAAUCGGCUCCUUUUGUGGUAAAGAACGAAAUAUUUGCUUUAAUUUUUAGCCAUAAACGUCCGGAACAAAAGUGCUACAGGAUCUCGGCCUCUGCGGCGUCUUUACAGCUUACCGUGUUUCCGUAUCAUAACCACUGCCACAACCCACUCGUUUUGCAGCUUACUGUUGCACUGCCCACCACAUGAAUCUUUAACCCUCUGGACAGGCGUGGGCUGUUCAAAACGUCUUGUGGCAGCUCUACCACUCGCAAUGAACAUGCUUCAGGUCAACCAAAUUUGGCUGUAGCUAAUUCUUAGCCCUCACAGACAGUUUCCCUUUCACCAUUAUAUUUUGCAUUUUACUUAAUGGCAGACGUUUGCAGCCAGUGCUUUCCUUCC